rnacentral:rRNA from 1 species
GAUGAACGCUGGCGGCGUGCCUAAUACAUGCAAGUCGAGCGAACAGAUGAGGAGCUUGCUCCUCUGACGUUAGCGGCGGACGGGUGAGUAACACGUGGAUCACCUACCUAUAAGACUGGGAUAACUUCGGGAAACCGGAGCUAAUACCGGAUAAUAUAUUGAACCGCAUGGUUCAAUAGUGAAAGACGGUUUUGCUGUCACUUAUAGAUGGAUCCGCGCCGCAUUAGCUAGUUGGUAAGGUAACGGCUUACCAAGGCAACGAUGCGUAGCCGACCUGAGAGGGUGAUCGGCCACACUGGAACUGAGACACGGUCCAGACUCCUACGGGAGGCAGCAGUAGGGAAUCUUCCGCAAUGGGCGAAAGCCUGACGGAGCAACGCCGCGUGAGUGAUGAAGGUCUUCGGAUCGUAAAACUCUGUUAUUAGGGAAGAACAAAUGUGUAAGUAACUAUGCACGUCUUGACGGUACCUAAUCAAAAAGCCACGGCUAACUACGUG